rnacentral:rRNA from 1 species
ACGAACGCUGGCGGCGUGCUUAACCCAUGCAAGUCGCACGGAAAGGCCCUGCUUUUGUGGGGUGCUCGAGUGGCGAACGGGUGAGUAACACGUGAGUAACCUGCCCUUGACUUUGGGAUAACUUCAGGAAACUGGGGCUAAUACCGGAUAGGAGCUCCUGCUGCAUGGUGGGGGUUGGAAAGUUUCGGCGGUUGGGGAUGGGCUCGCGGCUUAUCAGCUUGUUGGUGGGGUAGUGGCUUACCAAGGCUUUGACGGGUAGCCGGCCUGAGAGGGUGACCGGCCACAUUGGGACUGAGAUACGGCCCAGACUCCUACGGGAGGCAGCAGUGGGGAAUAUUGCACAAUGGGCGGAAGCCUGAUGCAGCAACGCCGCGUGCGGGAUGACGGCCUUCGGGUUGUAAACCGCUUUCGCCUGUGACGAAGCGUGAGUGACGGUAAUGGGUAAAGAAGCACCGGCUAACUACGUG